rnacentral:rRNA from 1 species
UACGUAGGGGGCGAGCGUUAUCCGGAUUUACUGGGUGUAAAGGGAGCGUAGACGGCCAUGCAAGCUCGGUGUGAAAGGUGCGGGCACAACCCGCAGACUGCACUGAGAACUGUAUGGCUAGAGUGCCGGAGGGGCAGGCGGAAUUCCUGGUGUAGCGGUGAAAUGCGUAGAUAUCAGGAGGAAUACCGUUAGCGAAGGCGGCAAUCUGGCUGGAAACUGACGCUGAGGUGCGAAAGCGUGGGGAGCAAACAGG